rnacentral:rRNA from 1 species
GAUGAACGCUGGCGGCGUGCCUAAUACAUGCAAGUCGAGCGAAUGGAUUAAGAGCUUGCUCUUAUGAAGUUAGCGGCGGACGGGUGAGUAACACGUGGGUAACCUGCCCAUAAGACUGGGAUAACUCCGGGAAACCGGGGCUAAUACCGGAUAACAUUUUGAACCGCAUGGUUCGAAAUUGAAAGGCGGCUUCGGCUGUCACUUAUGGAUGGAUCCGCGUCGCAUUAGCUAGUUGGUGAGGUAACGGCUCACCAAGGCAACGAUGCGUAGCCGACCUGUGAAGGUGAUCGGCCACACUGGGACUGAGACACGGCCCAGACUCCUACGGGAGGCAGCAGUAGGGAAUCUUCCGCAAUGGACGAAAGUCUGACGGAGCAACGCCGCGUGAGUGAUGAAGGCUUUCGGGUCGUAAAACUCUAUUGUUAGGGAAGAACAAGUGCUAGUUGAAUAAGCUGGCACCUUGACGGUACCUAACCAGAAAGCCACGGCUAACUACGUGCCAGCCGCCGCAGUAA